UUUUAUUUGAGAGUUUGAUCCUGGCUCAGGAUGAACGCUGGCGGCGUGCCUAACACAUGCAAGUUGAGCGAUUUACUUCGGUAAAGAGCGGCGGACGGGUGAGUAACGCGUGGGUAACCUACCCUGUACACACGGAUAACAUACCGAAAGGUAUGCUAAUACGG
rnacentral:rRNA from 1 species